AUUGAACGCUGGCGGCAUGCUUUACACAUGCAAGUCGUGCGGCAGCGCGGGACUCAGGCAACUGAGCCCUGGCGGCGAGCGGCGAACGGGUGAGGAAUACAUCGGAACGUACCCCGGAGUGGGGGAUAACCCAGCGAAAGUUGGACUAAUACCGCAUAUGCUCUGAGGAGGAAAGCAGGGGACUUCGCAAGAGGCCUUGCGCUCUGGGAGCGGCCGAUGCCGAUUAGCUAGUUGGUGGGGUAAUGGCUCACCAAGGCGACGAUCGGUAGCUGGUCUGAGAGGAUGAUCAGCCACACUGGGACUGAGACACGGCCCAGACUCCUACGGGAGGCAGCAGUGGGGAAUUUUGGACAAUGGGGCAACCCUGAUCCAGCCAUGCCGCGUGCGGGAAG
rnacentral:rRNA from 1 species